GGCUCAAUGGUCUAGUAGUAUGAUUCGCGCUUCGGGUAUUGUUCUCCCUCCGGCGAUCCUAUGCGCGAGGUCCCGGGUUCAAUUCACGGUUGAGCCC